rnacentral:rRNA from 1 species
AUUGAACGCUGGCGGCAGGCCUAACACAUGCAAGUCGAGCGGAUGACGGGAGCUUGCUCCUUGAUUCAGCGGCGGACGGGUGAGUAAUACCUAGGAAUCUGCCUGAUAGUGGGGGACAACGUUUCGAAAGGAACGCUAAUACCGCAUACGUCCUACGGGAGAAAGCAGGGGACCUUCGGGCCUUGCGCUAUCAGAUGAGCCUAGGUCGGAUUAGCUAGUUGGUGAGGUAAUAGCUCACCAAGGCGACGAUCCGUAACUGGUCUGAGAGGAUGAUCAGUCACACUGGAACUGAGACACGGUCCAGACUCCUACGGGAGGCAGCAGUGGGGAAUAUUGGACAAUGGGCGAAAGCCUGAUCCAGCCAUGCCGCGUGUGUGAAGAAGGUCUUCGGAUUGUAAAGCACUUUAAGUUGGGAGGAAGGGCAGUAAGCUAAUACCUUGCUGUUUUGACGUUACCGACAGAAUAAGCACCGGCUAACUCUGUGCCAGCAGCCGCGGUAAAAC